rnacentral:rRNA from 1 species
AGAUUGAACGCUGGCGGCAUGCUUUACACAUGCAAGUCGAACGGUAACAGGCCGCAAGGUGCUGACGAGUGGCGAACGGGUGAGUAAUGCAUCGGAACGUGCCCAGUCGUGGGGGAUAACGCAGCGAAAGCUGUGCUAAUACCGCAUACGAUCUAUGGAUGAAAGCGGGGGACCGAAAGGCCUCGCGCGAUUGGAGCGGCCGAUGUCAGAUUAGCUAGUUGGUGGGGUAAAGGCCCGACCAAGGCGACGAUCUGUAGCUGGUCUGAGAGGACGACCAGCCACACUGGAACUGAGA